CUCGAAACCCCUGACAGUGUGGUGGAACCAUCUUUCUGUGGUUCUUACACUGAAUCUGAGCCGACGUGCAUGAUGCAUCAUCAGAGGCCGAAGAAGAUGAUGGCUUUUGAAGGUGCUUUGACUGGGAGGCGUUUCCUGGGUUGUCCUGUGCAGCAGGAUGUAGGUGUGAACUGUGGGGUUGUGGAGUGGAUGGAUGGUCCUUGGCCAGAGAUUCUACAAAGGUGCCUAACCAGGAUUUGGGACAUGUGCCAUGAGCAGAACUUGGGGAGGGUGAAUGACAAACAAGCCCAUGAGAAAGAGGUGGCCAAGCUACAGAAGGAAAUUGAUUUCCUGUCAAACAACUACAAC
rnacentral:rRNA from 1 species